GCUAAACGCGAAGAACCUUACCAAGGCUUGACAUGGAUUUCUAAGCACGUGAAAGCGUGUGACCCUUCGGGGGACUUCCACAGGUGCUGCAUGGCCGUCGUCAGCUCGUGUCGUGAGAUGUUGGGUUAAGUCCCGCAACGAGCGCAACCCCUGUGAACUGUUGCCAGCACGUUAUGGUGGGGACUCUGUUCAGACUGCCCAGAUCAACUGGGAGGAAGGUGGGGACGACGUCAGGUCAGUAUGGCCCUUACGCCUUGGGCUGCACACGUACUACAAUGCCCAGCACAAUGAGAACCGAGACCGCGAGGUGGAGGAAAUCUACAAAACUGGGCCCAGUUCGGAUUGGAGGCUGCAACUCGCCUCCAUGAAGCCGGAAUCGCUAGUAAUGCUGCAUCAGCUACGGCAGCGUGAAUACGUUCCCGGGUCUUGUACACACCG
rnacentral:rRNA from 1 species